UACUCGAGUGGCGAACGGGUGAGUAACACGUGGGUGAUCUGCCCUGCACUUUGGGAUAAGCCUGGGAAACUGGGUCUAAUACCGAAUACACCUCAUGGGAUGCAUGUUUUGUGGGGGAAAGCUUUUGCGGUGUGGGAUGGGCCCGCGGCCUAUCAGCUUGUUGGUGAGGUUACGGCUCACCAAGGCGACGACGGGUAGCCGGCCUGAGAGGGUGUCCGGCCACACUGGGACUGAGAUACGGCCCAGACUCCUACGGGAGGCAGCAGUGGGGAAUAUUGCACAAUGGGCGCAAGCCUGAUGCAGCGACGCCGCGUGAGGGAUGACGGCCUUCGGGUUGUAAACCUCUUUCGCCAGGGACGAAGCGCAAGUGACGGUACCUGGAGAAGAAGCACCGGCCAACUACGUGCCAGCAGCCGCGGUAAUACGUAGGGUGCGAGCGUUGUCCGGAAUUACUGGGCGUAAAGAGCUCGUAGGUGGUUUGUCGCGUUGUUCGUGAAAACUCACAGCUUAACUGUGGGCGUGCGGGCGAUACGGGCAGACUUGAGUACUGCAGGGGAGACUGGAAUUCCUGGUGUAGCGGUGGAAUGCGCAGAUAUCAGGAGGAACACCGGUGGCGAAGGCGGGUCUCUGGGCAGUAACUGACGCUGAGGAGCG
rnacentral:rRNA from 2 species